GAUGAACGCUGGCGGCGUGCCUAAUACAUGCAAGUCGAGCGAACAGAUGAGGAGCUUGCUCCUUUGACGUUAGCGGCGGACGGGUGAGUAACACGUAAGUAACCUACCUAUAAGACUGGGAUAACUUCGGGAAACCGGAGCUAAUACCGGAUAAUAUUUCGAACUGCAUGGUUCGAUAGUGAAAGAUGGCUUUGCUAUCACUUAUAGAUGGAGCUGCGCCGUAUUAGCUAGUUGGUAAGGUAACGGCUUACCAAGGCAACGAUACGUAGCCGACCUGAGAGGGUGAUCGGCCACACUGGAACUGAGACACGGUCCAGACUCCUACGGGAGGCAGCAGUAGGGAAUCUUCCGCAAUGGGCGCAAGCCUGACGGAGCAACGCCGCGUGAGUGAUGAAGGUCUUCGGAUCGUAAAACUCUGUUAUUAGGGAAGGACGAACGUGUAAGUAACUGUGCACGUCUUGACGGUACCUAAUCAGAAAGCCACGGCUAACUACGUGCCAGCCGCCGCCGUAACAC
rnacentral:rRNA from 1 species